rnacentral:lncRNA from 1 species
UUUACAUUCAUAUAAGCUUAAGAAAUUUGUUAGGUAACACCAUCCAGGUGGUGUGAACUACGUCUCAUAAGGCCAAGUGCAUUAAGGAGAAGCAUAUGGAGAUUUAUAUAUGAAUGAGUUGUGCUGCAAACCUGGUGGUGGGGGAGAAAAGUCUAAGAUCUUAAAAAGUUUAACAGAUGUAUUCUAAUCCUUCAGGUCUGAUCAGAUUUCCCCUUUAACGCGGGCACAGGCAGGCACCAAUCGCAGAGCUGGCAUCUUUGCAAAGGAAAGGUGGAUGCUCUGACUGGGAGGAAGUGAGCUUUAUUGACACCAGCAAGAUCUGGUUUCUUCACAACCAUGAAAUCAUAUAGUUUAAAAAAAACAAAAGAGCUUUGCGUUUAUGUCAAAACCUGGAGAAGGAAUUCAAGCUUUCAGAUGUCCUUCACCUUGUGCUACCUCUUCUUGAAAGAACUUUAAGGGCUUUGCUGCAUUUUGUUGAGUAAUAGUAUGAGGUCUUCUCUUUUAUAAGCAGAUUUAUACUCUAGGAAGUGUCACUUCUAUCAUAUACCUGAGACAAAUGACUGUGAGAUGCCCUAAUGCUCUAUUCCCCUCUGCUUCGUCAUUGUACAUUAUCAUGGACUUGUGCUGAAUGAGCAUUUGUGAUACAGUUUUAGAGUUACAUCUAUGCUAACUCCCCUUCUUUUUCAUCUUUUUCCACUUUCUCUUGCCUUCUCCAAUCAGAAAUAUCUUUGAAGAAGGGACUGUGGCUUCCAUUGCCUUUAGCAUGUUUUAAAACUCUGACUUUGGUACAAUUCAGAGAUUAAAUUUUCUAUAGAAGCCUUGUACACAAUGUAAAGUGGAUUUGUAUGAGGCUUCUCUUAUGGAGAUGGAAUAUGUAGGUCCAUAAUAGAUCUUGUAUCCUUCUUAGAUAAAAUGUUUUUGUAGCUUUGCUAUGCCUCAGCAGUCUUUUGGGUUAGAAAAUGUAAAAUUUCCUCUACUAAAAUUCUAGUAAAUUUAUUCUUUCUAAUGGAAGGAAGUAGGAAACUCCAGAAAAACCAAUCAUAGAAUCACAGAAUGGUUUGGGUUGGAAGGCACCCUAAAGAUCAUGUAAUUCCACCCCCCCCGCCAUAAGCAGGGACACCUCCCACUAGAAUAGGUUGCUCAAAGCCCCUGGCCUUGAACACUUCGAGGGAUGGGGCAUCCACAGCUUCUCUGGGCAACCUGUUCCAGUGCCUCACCACCUGCUGAGUGAAAAAUUUGAUCUAAACCUACCCAUUUUAGUUUAAAGCCAUUACCUC